rnacentral:rRNA from 1 species
AUUGAACGCUGGCGGCAGGCCUAACACAUGCAAGUCGAACGGUAACAGGAAGAAGCUUGCUUCUUUGCUGACGAGUGGCGGACGGGUGAGUAAUGUCUGGGAAACUGCCUGAUGGAGGGGGAUAACUACUGGAAACGGUAGCUAAUACCGCAUAACGUCGCAAGACCAAAGAGGGGGACCUUCGGGCCUCUUGCCAUCGGAUGUGCCCAGAUGGGAUUAGCUAGUAGGUGGGGUAACGGCUCACCUAGGCGACGAUCCCUAGCUGGUCUGAGAGGAUGACCAGCCACACUGGAACUGAGACACGGUCCAGACUCCUACGGGAGGCAGCAGUGGGGAAUAUUGCACAAAGGGCGCAAGCCUGAUGCAGCCAUGCCGCGUGUAUGAAGAAGGCCUUCGGGUUGUAAAGUACUUUCAGCGGGGAGGAGGGGAGUAAAGUUAAUACCUUUGCUCAUUGACGUUACCCGCAGAAGAAGCACCGGCUAACUCCGUG